rnacentral:lncRNA from 1 species
UUUGGUUCUAGGGACUAAAGUUCACAUCCAAUGUUUAGAUACUAAUUAGGAGUAUUAAAUAUAGGUUAAUUACAAAACCAAUUGCAUAAGUGUGUGGCAGAAUCAUCCAAAUUAACCCAGCUAAAGUGUGCUAAACAUCGCCUCAAAUGCGAACAGACAUUUUAAUCGGAUCAAAAUGGUAGUCUGUCGGGUUUCACCCUAUACAACCAUGUAUUUGCAAUCGAAACACGCAUACAAUACUUGUACGAAGAUGAGCCCAGAGAAUACAACAAUCUAGAUGAAAAUAUUACAGAGGUCCCAGUUUAAUUAUUACAAACCGAGUUCAAAUCAUAAAGAAGUUCAGAGUUCAAAAGCAGCGGAAAAAAAUGGUAGGCAAACAACGAUACAUGAUAUCAUGGUGAAGCCAUCCAUGACAUCACUCACCAUGGUCCUCGCCCACCGAGGACGAGUCCCACUCAACCGUCCAUCCUGGAGGGAGCUGCUAUGGCCAAGUCACACUAGCAACCACAUCAUCAAUGUCAUUACCUGAAAAUAUAGGCACAAGCAAGGCUGAGUAUACUAAUACUCUACAAGACAUACCCGUUAGGUGGUAUCUAAUCCACCGACUCCUAGAUAUGCAAAGCUUUUUGGCUCAGGGGUUUGUUUUUGCUAAAAGCUUCUAAAGUGGGUCCUUGCUUUCAAGUUUUAGCAUCAAAUUCUAAUUAAUUAACCAAUCUAGGUAAGCACCUAUUCUAAGCAAGCAUGGUAGAACAAGCAAUUUAAUCAAGCCUUAAUAUUAAGCAUCAUCAUUGUUCAUCUUCUUACUCAGUGCAGCAUAGCGAUCAAGCAGUCUCAAUAUCUGUGAGAAAUAGACGAUUCGAAUCGAAUUUCUUAACCUUGCAAGGUGGACCUAAACACAUGACAUGUGCGUACCGCGACGGGUUCACACAUUAUCAACGGUUCCCAUCGAUCCCCAGCGCAGGUCCAGAGCCUACUUCCCUUGGAUACAAGGCCCCGUCGGUCCCGGAACGACACCGUGCUGUGGCCGUACUUGUACCCACAUGAUGCACCAAGGGAAACCAUUUCUAGAGAGAGUGGGGUAAAGGUUCACGUCCCGGUUCAAUUAGGUACUAGGCUUCCUGAUUACCAUCUUCUCAGUAUGUGUUUAGUACGUUCAAAGACAUGACCACGAACACCGACACGGUUCGACCUUAGCAAUUUCCUCUACACAGACGGGGCAUCAACCAUUUCAGGAACAUCGCACAAAGCCCCGCCCAUCAUCCUUAUGAUUCCAACAUAAGUAAACAGGAAACUCCUAUAGUUGGCGAGUGAUAGGAAAUCACACGACUUUUACCAUGUCCUUAUUUAGCCUAGCAUUAGAAUCAAUUUUAAUACGGAGAUAUAAAAUAAACAAAAUAAACUACCAUUAAGCACAUUAAAUCCAAAAGGCUUGUAAAUCAACCAGAAAAGUAUCAACAUCAUUUUUUCUAGAUUUUAUGCGGAAAACAAUGGCUAAUAGAAGUGAUUUCAACAUUUUAUCAAUUUUCCACUAUUUAUCAUGCAAAUAACAAAAUUAAGACAACAAACAAGCAUUAUAUUUAAAACAGCAUGAAAACCAAAGAUUCCACAAACACAAGUUGCAUGUCUGAAACAUAAAUGAUAAAUGGAAGGUAACAUAAUUAGUUUCACCAUUUUGGACCACCAUAUGAUUUAUAAAGCAUUUAUUGACUUUUAGACAAAAUAAAUAAUACAGAAUAGUAACAUGCACUCAAACAUUUUUGAAAUAAACUAGAUAUGAUUAGGAACUCAACAAAAGAAUAUUCACAUAUUUAUCAUUUUUCUACAAUUUUCUAGGUAUUUUCCAAUUUCGCAGCAAUUUAAAUCUAGGAAAUAAAUCAAAACCGAGGUCAACUUGCCAAACAAACCUCAAAUCUAAAGAUUCUCGCAUAUAGGACCCUAAAAUUUCCCAUAACCCCCCUCUCUUUCUUCUUCUUCUCCCACACAGCACACACAUCCACACAUAGAUAGGCACGGGCGGCGCGGCCGGCUCUACCCAACUAACGAGCUUGCAGGCGUGGGAGAGAGGAGGAAGGAACCACUAAUAAGUGGGCCCAGCAAAUUUUAAACUGUUCAACUUUCCCGACUCAAACGACCUAGCUACAGGCACCUAAAAAUCUCCCAAAAAUACUCAUUUGAAAGAUAAAGUCACAAAGAACACAAUGCCAUAGGAAUCAUUUGAAGAACUUCUCAAGUUUUCACACAAUUGUCAAAAGAAAACAGCCAAAACUAAAAUUUAAAGGAAUUUUAACACAAGGAAAAAUCAUUGAAAAAUUAAGUAAAAAUAUUAUAAAAUUAUCAAAUUGCAUCUAGUAUUUAAAUAAAAUAAUAGGAGGCACAUUUGCAUAGCAAAAAUUGGAGUUGCUUCACAAGUUUGAAUUUUAACAAUAAACAACAAUUAUAUGAACUUAAACAAUGCAUGGCCAAGAUGCUUAAUUAUUCACAAAUGACGCUCAUGAUACUCAAUUAUGCACAAAUGAAGCUCAUGAUUCUCAAUUAUGCACAAAUGAUGCUCGUGAUGCGCGGCGUGCAAAGGUGCCAUCUUCAACGCGAAUUUUCUCACAAAUUUGAACUACGCGUUUGAAUUUCCAAAAAUAAAAGUUGGAGUUCAAAGUAUAUGCUAUAACUUUUAUAAAAGCCGACAUAUGAAAAACUUGAUGGAUUUGGAGAUAAACUUGGGAGAAGUUUGGUGGAACGUCGGCCAAAACUGGAUUUGAAAAUAAUUUGAUUUUCAGCCAAAUUUCUACUCAAUUUUUGAACACAUUCCACUCAAAAUCAAGAAAAGUGCAAAUUAUGAAAGUUGCUCUAUUUGAAAAGAUCUAUCCUUUUUAUAUUGGCCAAAAUUUGAGUUCUUAUAUAAAAUUUGUUUUUAUUUGCUUCCCAAGUGCAGCACUACAAAGGUGUUUAAUCUCAAUUUCUCUUGAUUUAAUCUCAAUUUCUCUUGAUUUGGCUCCUAAUUACUUGGGAUGUCACAAAAUGAAGGCUAAUUUGCGAGAUGAAUCUAUUAAAUCUAUUCAGUCCAUGAUUUAACCAUGUGGUGUUACAGUAAAUAUGUGCUAAUCAUGGAUUAAUUAGGCUUAAUAGAUUCGUCUCACGAAUUAGCCACAGCUUAUACAAUUAUUUUUAUAAUUAGUUCACGCUUAGUCCUUCUAGUUGGUAUCCAAACAUUCGAUAUGACCCAAACUAAAAAUUAGUCCAUGGAUCCAAACACCCCCUUAGUUUGUGUUGCGCUUACCCGACCUGAUCCCGUUGAUUGAGCAGAGCCGCGAGUCUUAAUUCCUCUAUCCAACACCACUCCUUGGAAGCACUGAGCAACAACGGCCCAAGCUCCGUCCAUCCGCCGAGGCUGACCAACCGCCUGCUGCCCUUGACUAGGAGUCGGACUCCUCCUUUGAUGGCUCCUGUUGGAUGGCGGAUGCGCCAGACCAUGCAGAAGGUGAUAGAGUCCAAGGCGUCGGAGGCGGAGAAGAAGAAGCAGAACAAGAAGGUGGCCGCAAGGACCGAGGCCCCGACUACAGCAUUUGCCUCCGCGAUUAAGGCCUCGUCUAGGCUGGUGAGCGACGACUCCGACUCUUCUAGCCCUGCCGUGAAAAAGAAGAAGGCUGGGCUCCUUAAGACAAUAGCCGCCGACAUGGAAAAGGUCAUGGAGCGAUGGAAGACGGAAAUCCGCAGAGGAAAGCAGAAGGAGCCGACCCUACCACCGCCAGCGCCUCUCCGCCCAAAGUUUCGAGUGAAGAAGAGCAUGAUGUGAGUGUCUUCAAAAUGUCGUUUGUUGUUGAAAGCUUGUUUGUAUGCUGCAUUGCUUUAUCUUUGUGUCCUGCCAUCUGAGCAGGAAGGCUGUGAUGGAGGAUGAGCCAAACCCGCAGGAUGCUGGCAUUGAGACCCAUGCAGAGGGUCGGACAUCUGAUGCACCCUAGGGGUUGCAUUAGCAUUUGCUACUUAGGCCAGCGGUGAAAGUGGCCUAGUGACGGAGCUUGAGAGGCCCAAGCAGCAGUCACACCUACGCCAAGACGUUGCUGAAGAUGCUGUAGUUGCCGUGCCCGGUGACACGGAUGCCAACGUUGAGGUCCAGAUGGAGGAAGACCCUAGGGAGGCACCAACGAAGAAGACGAUCCUUCCACACUGGACUUCUUCGGGAUGGUUCUGGCGUAGGAGGCUGCUGAGGAUAGGAGAGACCUUGCCGAGCUGAAGCACGCUUUCGGCAAGGUCGCGGAGUUGUUAUAUGUAAGUUAGCCAACCUGAUUUGAUGUUGAUCAUUGUUUCGGGUUUCCUUCUCUGAUUAGUUGGGAUUAUUCUUGCCCAGAACCUGGCCGAGCACGCGCACAAUAGGGGGAUGCCAUCUAUUGCGCCGAGGAGUAUCGACUCAAGGCUGAGCUAAGGAAGGCCAAGGAGGAAUGCCGCAAAGCAGAUAUGACAAAAAGAUCAGGAGAUUGCGGACCAAAAAUAGAUAACCAAGGAUGUCCAGAGCAACCUCGACACCAUGUUGAAUGGUAACGGCUUCGAUCCUUGUUAUGAGUCCAGAUCCUCUAGAUGCAACUAGUGCCUAUUCUUGAAUCUUAUUGCUUUGCAGAUGCCCAGAAGAAAGAAGAGAGCCUUAAGAGAGACCUCAAAGAGUGCAAAGCAGCCAGCUCCCAACUCCAGCAAGAUCAUGUUAUUGCCGUGCACCGUGAGUAUGACGUGUCACAAAAUCUUGCCUAUGAAGCCGACUUGUUACUAUUAGUUGUUUGAUUCCGAGGAAGAUCUCGAGACGAAGACCGUGUAGCAAUGCUUCAUACUCGGCUUCGUUGUUUGAGACUUCCCAAAAGAUUUGAAGUACGUAUUUGAGUUGGUCUCCUUUUGGAGAAAUUAAGAGUACUCCUGCGCCAGCUCCUUCGAGCUUGAGGGAACCAUCGAAGUACAUAACCCAGUGCUCUGGCCUCUCGACUGGUGUUGGUACUUGGUUUUCUAUCCAUUCAGCCAUGAAGUCGACCAAAGCCUGAGAUUUGAUAGCUAUUCUUGGUUUAAAGAGCUCCAAGCUCUACUGCCCAUUUGGAAAUUCUACCCGUGGCAUCUCUGUUGUGAAGGAUUUUGCCGAGCGGGAAGUCGGUGAUGAUUGAAAUGUUGUGUUCUUGAAAAUAAUAUCGCAGGUUCCGUGAGGUGAGCAGAAUUGCGUAGAACAACUUUUGGAUUGGUGGGUACCGAGUUUUGGAGUCUGAUAGUACUUCGCUGAUGAAGUAAACGGGUCUCUGAACUUUGUAAACGUGGCCUGGUUUAGACCGUUCGACUACUACUGCAGUGCUGAUGACGUGAGUAGUAGCCGCUAUGUAUAGGAGCAAGUCCUCAUUUGGGCAUGGAGCGGUGAGGAUUGGUGGUUUUGACAGAAAGUCUUUGAGUUGUGUCAAUGCUUUGUUUGCCUCUUCUGUCCAUUUAAACUUGUCCUGUCUUUUGAGAAGCUUGAAGAAGGGUAGUCCUCGUUCUCCAAGUCUCAAGAUGAAUCGACUAAGGGCUGCCAUGCAGCCUGUGAGUUUCUGCACAUCCUUGAUGCUAGCUGGUGCUUACAUAUUUAUGAUGGUAGAUAUUUUCUCUAGGUUGGCCUCAAUGCCGUGAUGGCUAAUGAUGAACCCGAGUAGUUUGCCGGAAGGUACACCAAGAACGCAUUUGGUAGGGUUAAGUUUCCAGCGGAAAGCUCAUAGGUUUAAGAAGGUUUCCUCCAAAUAGAUGAUUAGGUCCUCCUGUUUUCUUGUUUUGACGACUACGUCGUCCACGUAAGCUUCUAUGUUGCAGUGCAAUUAUUUCUCGAAGCACAUCUAUAUAGCGCGCUGGUAUGUUGCACCCGUGUUUUUUAAUCCAAAUGACAUUGUUUCGUAGCAAAAAGCCCCAAAUGGAGUGAUGAAGGCUGUUUUGGCUUGAUCUUCUUCUUUGAGGCUUAUCUGGUGGUAACCUGAGUAACAGUCAAGAAAGCAUAGUAAAUCGCACCUGGCAGUAGAGUCGACUACCUGGUCGAUCCUGGGUAGUCCAAAAGGGUCCUUUGGACAAUGUUUGUUGAGAUCCGUGUAAUCAACGCACAUUCUCCAUUCAUUGUUUUUCUUGCGAAUGAGUACAGGGUUGGCUAGCCAAUCAGGGUGAAAAACUUCUUUGAUGAACCCUGCUGCGAGUAGUUUGGCUAGCUCUUUUUUUAUUGCUUCUCAUUUGUCUUGGGCGAACCUUCGAAGGUGCUGUCAUUUUGGGGUAGCUCUAGGAUCAACAUUUAGAGAAUGCUCAAUCAGUUCCUUGGGCACACCAGGCAUGUCGGCUGGCUUCCAGGCAAAGAUAUUGUGGUUAGCCCGAAGAAAACUUAUGAGCGCGGUUUCCUAUUUAGGAUCUAGUCCUGUCCCAAUUAGAGCUGUCUUAGAAGGGUCACCAUUCUGGAGAUCAACCAUUUUGAAGUCUGUCUCAUUUGUUGGCUUUACUUUUGCUGGCCCCGACUUGUUUUCUGGGAUUUCAAGUUCUAUUGGAUAAAGUUUCUUUGAAACUAAAAAAACUUGUUGCAUGGGGCUAGGUCCUUAAGAAGUUGCUGCAAUUUCCACGGCUUCGGUGUCGCAUUCAUAAGAUCACCUUAGGUCUCCUCGUAGUGUUAAUUCUCCCUUGGGUCCUGGCAUCUUGAGUACCAAGUAAACGUAAUGUGGUACAGCCAUGAAUUUAGCCAAAGUUGGUCUCCCGAGUAUGGCAUGGUAAGAGGUCUCGAAGUCGACGACUUCAAAUCUGAUGUACUCGGUUUGGUAAUGUUCCUUGGUGCUGAAAGUUACUGGUAGGAUGACUUGUCCUAGCGGUAUGACUGCGUUUCCUGCUACAAUCCCGUAAAAGGGGGAGUCUAUUGGAGUGAGCAUGUCUGUGAUGUCAAGACACAUCUUUCUUAGUGUUUUGGCAAAAAUGACGUUGAGUCUGCUUCCGCCAUCAAUAAGUACUUUUGUUAGUCUUGAUCCUGCAACAACAAGGUCGAGUACUAGGGGAAAUCGGCCUGGUUCUGAGAAGUUUGUCCAUUGGUCCCUUCUGCUGAAGGUUAUGGGUACCGGAGACUAUUUUAGCGUUGUUGGAUCUGUUGAUUUGAUGGCCAUAAUCUCUAUGAGUACCAAUUUGCUAGAUCGCUUGGAUGCGGAACCUGGGAUUCUGCCAAAAAUUGCGUUGACUAUUUUGGAGGCGGUCUGGAAGUCUCCUUCUCCUUCUUCAUCCUUAUGGAUUUUGUUUUUGCCCUUAUCCUUUUUCUGGUUGUACUCUUCGGGAGGUGGUGGUGCAGGUAAAUCUUGCAUUACUCGGCGCAUGUUAUAGCAGUCUAUUGCUGAGUGUUUGCUAUUUGGGUGCCAUGGGCAUUAUUUUUUGAGUAGUUCGGUGAAGCUUGGUCCAUCAUCGUGUUUGCGGGAUCCCUUCUUUCCUGAGUUGGUCAUGGAAGCAACGGUGUUGUUAGGUUUGCGUUUGCAAUUUUGGUUACUCGAAUAGUUAUUUCGAGUAUCAUUGUUUCGGCCAAAUCGCUUGCGUUCUUUAUCUUCUUCAUCUGCCCAUUGUUGCACGAUGAUUUUGAGGUCUUUGACGGUGACUGGUCAUCGUCUGCCAAAAUCCUGGUAUGUUCGACGAUCAUAGAGGCCAUUUUAAAAGCUCUCGAUAACGUCUAUUUCUGAAAUGUCGACUAUAGUGGCCUUCUUUUCAAAGAAUCGCCAUAGGUAGUCGCGCAGUGUUUCGCCUUCCUUUUGUUUUACUUGACUUAGGUUGAUCUUGUUGCCUGGUCUAGUCAUGGAGCCCAUGUAGUUGUUGGUGAAGGCUUUUGUCAGAUCUUCCCAAGAGUCAAUUGUUUUAGGUUUGAGUGAUUCAAGCCAUGUUAGGCGCGUGGGUUCCAUGCAUAUGGGAAAAUGGAUGACUUUUGUGUCAUUAUUGCCUCCGGCUGCUUGGACUACCAACGAGUAGCAUCGGAGCCAUUGAAUUGGGUCUUGCUUGCCAUCAUACUUGGUGAUUCCUGUUGGCUUGAAUUUUUCGGGUAGUCUUGUUCUCAUUACCCGUGUUGUGAAGGCGUGAAAAUGGUUGUAGUUGUCGAUUUCACGUUCGCGGCGACUAUUGAUUAUUUCCCAUAGAUCGCUGAAAUUUGAUACUUCAUGAUUUUUCCUCAUAUGGCGAGGACUUUUUGCGGAAUUAGUGCAGCUGGCCUCUCCAACAUCCUUUGUCGUACUAGGGCUUCGCAUUUGCUCAGUCCUUGGCUAUGUUGCCUUGGUUGGUUGACCACCUCGUUGUUGUUUCGUUGUGCUUCGUGGAAGCCAUUGUUGACUGCGGCACCCCUACUGCCCUCUCGAUGGGCUGAGUUGCGAGGAACAUAUGGGAUUGGUGAUUCUUUAUCGAGUAGCUUGUAAGCUUGUUCUGCGAGUUGUGCAAUUAGUCCAUUGCCUCGCUGCGCAAGUUGAGCUGUUAUUUCGUUAUCUCUGUCUUGAGGUAUGAGAAUUAAUAUAAGGUUGAUUGAGGCAAUUGCUGGGAGUGGGGUGUUGUGCUCUUGAGCUUAUACUGCGUCAAAUGCUCUUUCAAGGUUUGUGAUGGGAAUGUUUGUGGCUAGCAAUUGUCGACGUUUAGCUCGAGUAAUGUUUCGUAUCCUUCUUUGGUUUCAUUGAUCGGAAGUUUCGUCCUGCGGAGCGUUAGCCGAUGUCUCAUCCUCUGAAACGUUAUCGAGCUGCGCUAUCCGUCAAGGGGUUCUCUGUUGGCUAGUGCCCACAUUAUUAUUUUGAGUGAUGACAAAGAAUUCUCUAUCUCGGUAGUAGCUUCUGGAGCUUGAUGUUGCAAUUUCUGUAGUGCUCUCCUCGCGGCUUGAAGUGAGCAGGAUGCCUUCUUCGUACGGGAGGUUGUCUAUGUGAGCGACAAGGCACGACUCGUAGUCGCAGGUAAGGAGAGAUGGCCUCAUUCUUGGCCAGUGAACGAAUCUGCCCUGCGGCGUUGAAGUUACUACCAAACCUUAGGCUGGCCCUGAUAAUGGAAUUUCUUGGACGUAGUCCGAGUUGGAGUCACAGUCCUUGUCUUCCCCGUGUUCGAGUUGAGUUCGAGUGAGGAGACAUUGGUAGACUUCGGCUGUAUUGCGGAGUCCGUAUGGGAAUCGUUUUUGAGUUGAAGUUGACUUGUGAAGUGACUGGGGCUUCGGCUUGUGUCGACUAAUCCGAGCUGGGGUCGAGUCCGAAGCGUAGUCGAACUCGGUGUCGCUGACUUUGAAAAUUUGGCUUUUCUUGAAAAAAUCCCCCGUUUUUUGCUGAGGAAAGCUUCUGUCGAGAGGUUUCUUCUCCUGGAUGUGAAACGAUCCAGCGCCGUCGGCGAUGCAGAGCCAAGAUCCGAAAACAAAAGUUGCACCUGCCUCGAAGGUGAAAACAGGCUUGAUAAUGACAGAUGCCAUCAAACUCGCGCGGAGAAACUCGGCGACUGCCCCUACCUAGCACGCCAGCUGUCGGUGUUUUAGACGAGCAACCCACCUAGGGGGUACCCUAGGUGGUCUUUUGUGCGGUGGGUGUAUUCGAGAAUCAAGGAGUCAAUGGUGACGCAAGGAACACGAUUUAGACAGGUUCGGGCCGCUAGAUGGUGUAAUACCCUACGUCCUGUGUGUUAAUUGUAUUGAACUUAGAUGAGUUGUCUUUGAGGGGGUCGUUGCCCGCCCUUAUAUGAUCGGGGGAGCAGGGUUACAGGCUAGAAUCCUAGUCAGAUACAGUUAUAGAAUUCCACUCGGUGUAUACAGAGUAGUUUCCAUAUGUAUGUUGACUAGUCUUUGGGAGUCCGAGUGGGCUAUGUUCCUUUGCCGCGUAGCCCCCGAGCCUUGAUUACGUCCGAGUAUGCCCCUUAGUGGGCCGCACAGGGCCUACUCGUGGGCCUGGGAUGUAUGCCCGACAGUUACCCAUGCUACUGGUCCUCGUAACGCUGGCUCACGGUCCGAGUCCGCGCCUAUUGCCGCACGCUCGCGGACACCACCCUCGGUGUUGCUAAAGGAAGAUACACUUGCGCUCUUUAGCUGCACCAUCUGCCAUCGCAGUCGGCUCAUCGUCCUGCUAAACUUGUUGGCAAGAAGCUGCUGAUUUGUAUAUUCAGGCGCCUUUGCUGACGCUUCGGACCCGUGUCCUCCUCCACGGCUUCGAUCAUGUCCACCUCGACCUCGGCUACUUUGGCACUAAGGGGCUACCAUCUGCUUGACAAGCCUCUUCGGCUCCCAUUCCAGCCACAACAUCUACGGCGCAUCGACGGUUGCGACUGCGGGGGGAUGUCAUCUCUUUGGCUUAUUCUUCAGUCUCAUCGUCUGCGCGUUUCCAUUGUGACUGCGGGGCAAUGUUAGAGUAUAUUAGGCAACUCCGGAUAUGGUUAGUUUAGGAUUGAUUGUAAUCCCAUGAUAACCUUCCUUAUCUCUAGGAGAUGCUACAUGCCCUCCAAGCCAUGUACUCCUAUAUAAUCAGCCCAAGGAGCUCAAGCAAUACAUCCCACGCAUUAUACACGAUCUUACAUGUAUUGAAAUUGGUAUUGUAGAGUAAUUAGCACAAUAAUAAUAUAAGGGUGAUAUGCAUAUGUGCUUAAGUGUUACUGAAAUGCUCGCGGUAGGGUGUUUGGAUGUGCUUGUAGUAGCAUACUAUUUGGAUAUAUUCAUGGUAGAGAGAAUGUUUGGAUGUGCUUGUAGUAGCAUAUCAUUUAGAUAUACUCAUGGUAGCGUACAUGAUUUUGAGAUGGAUACUAGAAAUAGCAAAGCCACGCCUUUUGGGGAUUGGGCUUUGGAAGAACUUUUGCUUGCCUUGUCAAAAAUUCAUAAUUCAAACUUUGAUAAACCUGAAUGACCUAGCUAGAGAAAUGGAACGCUUCUGGUUCGUGUGCCUGAAAAAAGAAAACAUAUCCUCCUGCGUUGCAAGAUUAUAACAUCGAGACCGUGGACUUGAUCUGAAUUUUUCAUGCUAUGUAGAUGGUUAUUCACUUAGAUGUAUUGUAAAAUAGCAUGUUUUUGGCAUAUUCAGACAUAUGAGCACUGUGUAUUGUAAGAAUCCAAGGGAAACAGAUUUACACACCAAUUGAUGUGCAUUAAAUAGACGUAGAAGCCAGCUUUUCUUCUGUUGCCAUAUUUUUUUUUGUUUUGAUAAAAGACUUCAUUCAAGCUUAAAAGCAAUGUACAUGGAGAAAGGUCAGAUGACCCCAAGUUACAGAUUGGAUCGCUGCAAGAACAGCACACAUUCAGUGAAGAUUGGUACACACAGAAUCUAAGUGGCCAAUCAGAAGAAAGACUUCUAGCUGAAACUGCUAAUUGAUGAGCUGCCUCAUUCUGAACUCUAGAGAUUUUAGAGCAACUCCAAGAGUUUCUCUAAAUUUUUUUCCUCAAAAUUAUGUAUUGGGAGCUUUUCUAAUUUUUUUCCCUAAAAUCAUGUUAUCCCACCGCAGAUCUCCAACAAUAACCUUCCUAAUAUUUCAAAACAGGCCACGUCAGCACGAUUGGGCCCAUCAGGGCUGGCCUCACCUUCCACCUCACGAUCUGUUUCUCCCGUCGCCCCUUCUAGCGCCGCCACCACUCAUCCACCCUUCCAUCCCUGCAAAUUUGCUGCUGCGUUCUACAAUCAUAAUUGGAGAUAGGUAAAAUGGAUUCGUUAUGAGUCGAUAAAGCUUUUCCAUUAAACGGGUGCUGAAUUUAUCGUCAGAUAAUGAUGAUAAUGACGGAUUCUUCUUCUCCGUUGUGGGAAAGGAGUACAUGGGGGAGCGAUUGGGGAAGAGCGGAGUCACGGAAAUUUGCGGGGCGUCGGAGGAGUUAUUCGCGUCGCUGAAUUUUUGCGGGGAGCACAGGGGAGCUAUUGGAGGCUCAAUUUUAAUGUUUUUCUCCCUAAUUAAGGUCUUGGGAAUAAUAAAAGGGAGCUUUUUGGAGUUGCUCUUGAUCACUUGCAAAGCAUCCAGUAAGGCAAGUUCCUGAAAAUGAGAGAUCCAUGGACGAAGUUUCAAUGGAGAAUCUAAAGGCGACUUGUGCAGAUGUGUGAUUGCCUUGUUCUUCUGUUGCCAUAUUGGUCUUGGUCACACACUGAACCACCAACGUUGCUGGGAAGAUGAUAUCUAUUCACGGGGGAAUGCAAAUGAGGGGAAAAAAAAAGGGGGUCAACGAUAUUAAAAUCUCGACCGGUGAGGGAAAGACUGCCUCCAUACGGUUACAUAAGAAGGACUUAACCGUAGCCCAUCCGACAAAGGUCACGAAAGCUGACCCCCCUCAUACAUGGAGAUGCCACCCCCUGUGGUUUUGGGCCUUUACCCGUGCUUUGAGGCCCAACCUACGACCAUCCCCUUACACGUGGCUCGCCCACCACUACUAGAAAAAAGACCUUUCUUCCACUCCCUUAGUACCGAUCACAUUUUGACCCGGUACUAAUGUUAGCAUUAGUAUCGGGUCUAAAUUUAGGACCCCCGAAGGUCUUUUAGUACCAGGUCGUAACACCACCCGGUACUAAAGUGGUACUAAAAGGUAUAAAACUUUUGGUACCGGGUCAUAACACCGCCCGGUACUAAAGGAGCACUUUUAGUACCGGGUGAUGUUAUGACCCGGUACUAAAGACUCUCCACGGGUUACUUCAAAAGGAAAAUAUAUCUACCUCCAUCACAUACGCUACGUAGGUGGGAUGGCAAGGAAGGCUCGCACGAGGCUUGAUGUCGUUGGUUCGAAUCCCAUAGACCGCGCACGACGCGACUAAAGGGAUCCCUUUACCCUUUAGUACCGAUUAUUUGACCCGUUACUAAAGGUCACCUUUAGUACCAACAUAGCAACGAAAGGUCCCCUUUAGUACCAACAUAGCAAUACUUGUUGUACAACCGGUACUAAAAGGUCCCUUUAGUACCAACAUAGCAAUACCGAUUGUACAACCGGUACUAAAGGUGGGUUUGGAACCGGUACUGAAAGCGGAAUCCCCAGUAGUGCACCACAGGUCGGUUCACCCAUGCCGACCAGGGGAACCAGCGAGUGACUUUUUUAAUCCAGCCUCAUUUAAUUCGCUUCCACUGGGAGUCGAACUUAGAUCUACUGGGUGCUACUCAAGCACUCUAACCACUGACCUAGAGGCAAGGGAUCAAAGACAAUACAAUACUUAUUUUUCCGCUUAUAUGUGCCUCUCGCCAUUGUUCAUAUUUGAGCUUUUUUAACAUAACUGCAUGACAUGUGGUUAACAGGUAUCAAUAUCGAAUCCAAUUCCUUCAGAGUACCUUACAAACCUUUGCUUAGAUAAUUUCUUAUAUACACUCAUGGUAAUUGUCCUUUUUAAGGUAAGCUUCACUUUCUUAAGUUUUCUGACUACUAAUCUAGCAGCACGAUCAGAAUUGCUCAAGCAGGCAAGCAGUAGCCCAGUAGGAGCGCACGACGCAACAAAGAAGACUUACCUCAGUGAGGCCUAGAUUGAAGGGGGCGGACGGACGGACGGAGAUCCUACACAUCUUCCCGGAAGGUAGGAAGCCCACUCAUCUUCCAAAUUUUGAGAUUCAUGCAUAGGUUGUGGACCGUGCGAUCCGCUUCUUCCUUCCUCCUCCACGCGUCUUCUCUCCGCUCCUGAGCGUGCCACCGCCAUCAUGCACGCCAGGGCUGCCGCCAUGGGGGCUUAGGUUUUGGGUUCUGGGGGUGGGGCCUCUCCGGUGGUUGCCGGAUUAGAAGGAAGCUCGGGAUGACUGGCUGGUCCGGUGAUGGAGGCAGACGAAACGACGGUGAGGUCGGCGGCGGGGUGACGUGGCGUCUUUGGUGGUCAGUCAACCACAGUGGUGGGCGCCGGGCAACACGGCGUGGUGGCGAGGACGCCGGCGGCCGUGGGCGGUGGAAGAUGACGGUGGGGGUGUCACGUUGCGGCUCGGUUAGCGUGGUCAGGGCAGCGGAGGCGGAUCCGGCGGUGGCAGCCGCGAGCGGUAGGCCGGCGGGGCGGGGGAGUUUCGCCGGAGAGAAAGAAGAACCGGCGAGGUGGGCAGUGCUUUGGGAGGAGAAAGACGGCUAUUGGGCCGUGCGAUGGAUAGUGUUCCAUCUUCCAUGUUAUGGAUAAGAGUCCCCGCGGACAGAUGGACGGAGUCGUGAUUGGACGUCAUGCGAGGGGGUAGCCGAAAGCUGCUGGUGGUGGCCGAUGGCGUAACUUGCUCACGGACAGUCCGGACUCAGGAACCGACAAUGUCCGUGUUAACCUGGCUAGGCGAGCACGAACCAACC